AUGGCUGCUCUCGCGUCGGUGGCGGUGGCAGAGCAGGCGGAGCGCUCGACCGAACAAAUCGAGGCGGCUCGCGCGGGGAUGAUGAAUCCACCCGGCGGCCAUAGCUCAUACGCGUCCUGGAGCCAACAAAGCGUCGGAUCUCCGGCCGGCUUCUCGUUGUCGCCACAACGCUGGGGCUGCAUGUCGUCGCCGGGCUAUGUCGACGGCGACGCGCACGGCGGGUUCAACCCCAACAUCACGGUCCCCCAUGUUCACCCGACCCAGCGCACGCCCUUGCCCGCCUUCGCCGGCGUGCAGUACCCUCCGUACACCUACUUGCCGCCGGCGUACGUAGCCUCCCCGACGCCACCUCUUCGCCCUUGCGCGCUGCUCUUCUCACAAGCCUCCUCGUCGCAUCUCGGCGACACCGACGCGACGGAGGUCGACAUGGAAUACAUCAUCAUGACUGGCUCGGCCGCGACCGCGGCCUUCCCCGGGUCCAUUGCCCAAGACGACAUAGUGGACCUCAACGGUGACAUGGACGGCGAGCUCGACUACGACGAGGAAGAGCCAGAGGAGGGGGAGGAGGAGGAGGAGCUGGCGCCUGCUCCGGCGAGGAAAGGGAAGAAGAAGAAGAAGCGGGCGGCCAGGACCGGCGAGCCGCGAUCAAGUGGGCGUCCAAGGAGGACGAGUGCCUCGCCGAAGCGUGGAAAUUCGUCUGCCUCGACCCGAUCACCGACACGAACCAGAGCGUCGAGACGUAUUGGGACCGCAUCAUGGUCGAGUUCUACGAGCGCAAUCUCGUCGACCCCUACUUCAAAGCCGUCUACAUGCAGCGUCGGUCGAAGGCUAUGGCAAACCAUUGGGGGCUCAUCCAAACGGCGUGCAACAAAUGGCAUGGGAUCGUCGAGGAGAUCGCGGCUCGCCCGGGGAGCGGCGCCAGCGUCGAGGAUCAAGUAUAGCACGCCGGCCUCUCCCUUUUCUUUUCGCGGUGUGCGCGCCCGCUGGCUGAUGUUCCUCGGCGCAGCUGUUGCGGAUGUUUGCCAUGUUUCGCCAGGACAACAGCGACCAAGAGUUCAAGUACCUCCACGUCUUCAAGCGGAUCGACAAGUGCGAGAAGUGGGCAGAAGUCUGGCGCACCCUCGCCAAGGCCAAGGAGACGUACAAGCCGGACGCGUCGAUGCCGGGCGCGGCCGACGGGCGCCCGGACGACAACAAAGGGGCCAAGAGGCGAAACACGUCGAGUCGGCUACCACACGUGUGCAAGAGUCCAUCGAGCACUGCCUCGCCGACGCCAAGACCCGGGCCGCCCUGCGGGAAGAGAAAACCGAGGCGCGGUGGUCGGCGUUGAUGAUGAACAGCGCCGUCAAACUCGACUUGCUCCGGACCAACGUCGCCGCGAAGAAGAGGAACACCGACCUGACUUUCUUGAUGGGCGGCGCGGACAUGCUCCAGAGCGGCGACGAGAAGCUCAAGGCGUGGUACCUGGCGGAGCGCGACCUUAUCCUGAACCAUAUACCAGCGACGCCGCCGCCAACGCCGCCGCAAAGCCCGAGCGGUGAUGCCUCCGCGACGCCCAGCAACACAGAAACCGCACUGAUGCCGCCCAACACAGAAGCCGGCCGAUGCCGCCCUGUGCGCGCACGCCGACUCCUCAAAUGCCGGAGGCCGCCACCGCCACCGCCAUCUGAUGCAUUGCCUGCGCGGCCUUUCGUUUUGUAUGCCGAACUUUUCAUUUGGUUGCCGAACUGUGGCGUGAUGAUCGCCGAACUGUGGCGCCGAUCGCUGGACUUGUGGCGUUUUUUUGGGAGCGGGAAUGGACCAAGUUUGAAUUUACGGCGCCUUGGGGGCAGCACCUGGGGGUGUGGCCGGGGCCUUGAUCGCCCCCAGGGCCUAAAAAUUGCCGGGUGA
rnacentral:rRNA from 1 species